rnacentral:snoRNA from 1 species
ACCUUCUUGAUCAAGCACUGUGCUAAAACUACAGAAGCUGGGGCUUAGUCUUGGCUUCUGUAGUAAUGCUAGCAGGGUACACACAAGAAGAACAACAAAUGCACUGGAUCCAAAAUGACUUGGGUGGACCUCUUUCUUAAUGUCCCGUGUCCUUGUCUUAAGAUCUGGUGCAAUAAUU